CCUGAUGCAGCAACGCCGCGUGAGGGACGAAGGCCUUCGGGUUGUAAACCUCUUUUAGUAGGGAAGAAGCGAAAGUGACGGUACCUGCAGAAAAAGCACCGGCUAACUACGUGCCAGCAGCCGCGGUAAUACGUAGGGUGCAAGCGUUGUCCGGAAUUAUUGGGCGUAAAGAGCUCGUAGGCGGUUUGUCGCGUCUGCUGUGAAAACUGGAGGCUCAACCUCCAGCCUGCAGUGGGUACGGGCAGACUAGAGUGCGGUAGGGGAGAUUGGAAUUCCUGGUGUAGCGGUGGAAUGCGCAGAUAUCAGGAGGAACACCGAUGGCGAAGGCAGAUCUCUGGGCCGUAACUGACGCUGAGGAGCGAAAGCAUGGGGAGCGAACAGGAUUAGAUACCCUGGUAGUCCAUGCCGUAAACGUUGGGAACUAGAUGUAGGGGCCAUUCCACGGUUUCUGUGUCGCAGCUAACGCAUUAAGUUCCCCGCCUGGGGAGUACGGCCGCAAGGCUAAAACUCAAAGGAAUUGACGGGGGCCCGCACAAGCGGCGGAGCAUGCGGAUUAAUUCGAUGCAACGCGAAGAACCUUACCAAGGCUUGACAUAUACCGGAAACGGCUAGAGAUAGUCGCCCCGCGAGGUCGGUA
rnacentral:rRNA from 1 species